GCCUGGCUGGCUCAGUCAGUUAAAGCACGUGACUCUUGGUCCUGAGGUUGUGAGUUCAAACCCCAUGUUGGGUG
rnacentral:tRNA from 1 species